GUUGCUUCUCAGCCUUUUUGCUAAGAUUCAGCAUAGUAUCUGUUCUUAACCAGUUUAAUAUUUGAUAUGUCCUCUAUUCAAAACAACAUAUUAAAUGGAUUUUUGGAGGAGGAAGAUGGAAUAGGAGCUUGCUUCGUCCCCACAUCAACCUGGUAUUACAGUAUCUCAAGGAACAGUGUACUCCCA